rnacentral:rRNA from 1 species
AGCGUACACGGUGGAUGCCUAGGCAGUCAGAGGCGAUGAAGGGCGUGCUAAUCUGCGAAAAGCGUCGGUAAGGUGAUAUGAACCGUUAUAACCGGCGAUACCCGAAUGGGGAAACCCAGUGUGUUUCGACACACUAUCAUGUCAUGAAUACAUAGUGGCAUGAGGCGAACCGGGGGAACUGAAACAUCUAAGUACCCCGAGGAAAAGAAAUCAACCGAGAUUCCCCCAGUAGCGGCGAGCGAACGGGGAGGAGCCCAGAACCUGAAUCGGCUUGUGUGUUAGUGGAAGCGUCUGGAAAGUCGCGCAGCAAAGGGUGAUAGCCCCGUACACUAAAAUGCACAGGUCGUGAGUUCGAUGAGUAGGGCGGGACACGUGACAUCCUGUCUGAAUAUGGGGGGACCAUCCUCCAAGGCUAAAUACUCCUGACUGACCGAUAGUGAACCAGUACCGUGAGGGAAAGGCGAAAAGAACCCCGGCGAGGGGAGUGAAAUAGAACCUGAAACCGUGUACGUACAAGCAGUGGGAGCACCUUCGUGGUGUGACUGCGUACCUUUUGUAUAAUGGGUCAGCGACUUAUAUUUUGUAGCAAGGUUAACCGUAUAGGGGAGCCGUAGGGAAACCGAGUCUUAACUGGGCGAUUAGUUGCAAGGUAUAGACCCGAAACCCGGUGAUCUAGCCAUGGGCAGGUUGAAGGUUGGGUAACACUAACUGGAGGACCGAACCGACUAAUGUUGAAAAAUUAGCGGAUGACUUGUGGCUGGGGGUGAAAGGCCAAUCAAACCGGGAGAUAGCUGGUUCUCCCCGAAAGCUAUUUAGGUAGCGCCUCGUGAACUCAUCUUCGGGGGUAGAGCACUGUUUCGGCUAGGGGGCCAUCCCGGCUUACCAAACCGAUGCAAACUCCGAAUACCGAAGAAUGUUAUCACGGGAGACACACGGCGGGUGCUAACGUCCGUCGUGAAGAGGGAAACAACCCAGACCGCCAGCUAAGGUCCCAAAGUCAUGGUUAAGUGGGAAACGAUGUGGGAAGGCACAGACAGCCAGGAUGUUGGCUUAGAAGCAGCCAUCAUUUAAAGAAAGCGUAAUAGCUCACUGGUCGAGUCGGCCUGCGCGGAAGAUGUAACGGGGCUAAACCAUGCACCGAAGCUGCGGCAGCGACGCUUAGGCGUUGUUGGGUAGGGGAGCGUUCUGUAAGCCGUUGAAGGUGGCCUGUGAGGGUUGCUGGAGGUAUCAGAAGUGCGAAUGCUGACAUAAGUAACGAUAAAGCGGGUGAAAAGCCCGCUCGCCGGAAGACCAAGGGUUCCUGUCCAACGUUAAUCGGGGCAGGGUGAGUCGACCCCUAAGGCGAGGCUGAAAAGCGUAGUCGAUGGGAAACAGGUUAAUAUUCCUGUACUUGGUGUUACUGCGAAGGGGGGACGGAGAAGGCUAGGCUGGCCGGGCGACGGUUGUCCCGGUUUAAGCGUGUAGGGGGUGUGACCUGGUAAAUCCGGUUGCAUAUCAACCCUGAGGCGUGAUGACGAUGCACUACGGUGCAGAAGUAGUUGAUGCCCUGCUUCCAGGAAAAUCCUCUAAGCUCCAGGUAACAUUAAAUCGUACCCCAAACCGACACAGGUGGUCAGGUAGAGAAUACCAAGGCGCUUGAGAGAACUCGGGUGAAGGAACUAGGCAAAAUGGUGCCGUAACUUCGGGAGAAGGCACGCUGGCAUGUAGGUGAAGUCCCUUGCGGAUGGAGCUGAAGCCAGUCGAAGAUACCAGCUGGCUGCAACUGUUUAAUAAAAACACAGCACUGUGCAAACACGAAAGUGGACGUAUACGGUGUGACGCCUGCCCGGUGCUGGAAGGUUAAUUGAUGGGGUCAGCCGCAAGGCGAAGCUCUUGAUCGAAGCCCCAGUAAACGGCGGCCGUAACUAUAACGGUCCUAAGGUAGCGAAAUUCCUUGUCGGGUAAGUUCCGACCUGCACGAAUGGCGUAAUGAUGGCCAGGCUGUCUCCACCCGAGACUCAGUGAAAUUGAACUCGCUGUGAAGAUGCAGUGUACCCGCGGCAAGACGGAAAGACCCCGUGAACCUUUACUAUAGCUUGACACUGAACAUUGAGCCUUGAUGUGUAGGAUAGGUGGGAGGCUUUGAAGCGUGGACGCCAGUCUGCGUGGAGCCAUCCUUGAAAUACCACCCUUUAAUGUUUGAUGUUCUAACUCUGCCCCGUGAUCCGGGGUGAGGACAGUGUCUGGUGGGUAGUUUGACUGGGGCGGUCUCCUCCCAAAGAGUAACGGAGGAGCACGAAGGUUAGCUAAUCACGGUCGGACAUCGUGAGGUUAGUGCAAAGGCAUAAGCUAGCUUGACUGCGAGAGUGACGGCUCGAGCAGGUACGAAAGUAGGUCUUAGUGAUCCGGUGGUUCUGAAUGGAAGGGCCAUCGCUCAACGGAUAAAAGGUACUCCGGGGAUAACAGGCUGAUACCGCCCAAGAGUUCAUAUCGACGGCGGUGUUUGGCACCUCGAUGUCGGCUCAUCACAUCCUGGGGCUGAAGUAGGUCCCAAGGGUAUGGCUGUUCGCCAUUUAAAGUGGUACGCGAGCUGGGUUUAGAACGUCGUGAGACAGUUCGGUCCCUAUCUGCCGUGGGCGUUGGAAGAUUGAGAGGGGUUGCUCCUAGUACGAGAGGACCGGAGUGAACGCACCACUGGUGUUCGGGUUGUCAUGCCAAUGGCAUUGCCCGGUAGCUAAGUGCGGAAAAGAUAAGCGCUGAAAGCAUCUAAGCGCGAAACUUGCCUCAAGAUGAGUCUUCCCUUGGACUUUGA